CACAAUUCCCUUACCUAUAGACCAGAUAGCGAGCCUAUAACAUGAUAUUAUACUUCUGUUUUAUCAAUUUGUACCGCACCCCCUGGGUAUCUAACGCUUUAUCAGAUUUCGUGACUACCCCAACCUAGUUUAUGUAGCUAAAAUUGUCUGUGUUUAAUGUGUAACUGCAAGUAUUUGUUUUCAAAAGCCAGCUGUGCAAUGUUUCCCGAAAUUCCCCGUAAUUUAGCACCAUAAAAGCUUUAGUCAUGAAUGAA